rfam:Xenopus laevis strain J chromosome 8S, whole genome shotgun sequence.
UUUGGAGGGAUAAAAAAAGCAAAGUCUGAGAAGUGAGACUCUGCUGAUACCACCCUCCUACAGUAACAGGGCGGAGAGAGAGCAGUUCGGCUCUGAGAUUCAGCCACUGCUCCCUGCACCAUCCGACAUUG